rnacentral:rRNA from 1 species
AACGAACGCUGGCGGCAUGCUUAACACAUGCAAGUUGAACGCAGGAUAGGACUUCGGUUCUAUUGCUGAGUAGCAAACGGGUGAGUAACGCGUGGGAAUCUACCUUUUUGUGGGGGAUAACUGAGGGAAACUUCAGCUAAUACCGCAUAAGCUCUACGGAGGAAAGGCUUCGGCCGCAAGAAGAGGAGCCCGCGUCAGAUUAGGUAGUUGGUAGGGUAAAAGCCUACCAAGCCAAUGAGCUGUAGCUGGUCUGAGAGGAUGAUCAGCCACACCGGGACCGAGACACGGCCCAGACUCCUACGGGAGGCAGCAGUGGGGAAUAUUGGACAAUGGGGGAAACCCUGAUCCAGCAAUGCCGCGUGAAUGAAGAAGGCCUUAGGGUUGUAAAGUUCUUUCACCUGUGAAGAUUAUGACGGUAGCAGGAGAAGAAGCCCCGGCUAACUCCGUGCCAGCCGCCGCAGUAA